rnacentral:rRNA from 1 species
CGUGAGUAACCUGCCCUGGAGUGGGGAAUAACAGCUGGAAACAGCUGCUAAUACCGCAUAAUGCAGUUGGGCCGCAUGGCUCUGACUGCCAAAGAUUUAUCGCUCUGGGGUGGACUCGCGUCUGAUUAGCUAGUUGGUGGGGCAACGGCCCACCAAGGCGACGAUCAGUAGCCGGACUGAGAGGUUGGCCGGCCACAUUGGGACUGAGACACGGCCCAGACUCCUACGGAAGGCAGCAG